UCUGUUUUUGAGUUCGGUCUGUCCGAGCGCGCAAGACGAAGAAAGAAACUAUAGUCAACUGAAAAAUUUGGCCAGCCACGAGCGGAGACGUGACAGGAAGGUAAGCCGUCUGUACCCGUUUCCUGAUAAACCCUCUCAGGCAGUGAUAUCAGCAAAGUCUGCUGAUCCUGUGUGCUACCUCAAUCCAUCCAGGAUUCGCCUCCCUGUCCCAAAUUUUGAUUAACAGACAGGUAUAAAACAGAGAAGCCAACAGGUUGAGAAGAGACAACAACGCAGAGGGGGGUUUGAUGCCACAGUGGGGAUGAAUGCCCC